rnacentral:rRNA from 1 species
UGCCAGACUCCUACGGGAGGCAGCAGUGAGGAAUAUUGGUCAAUGGGCUUACGCCUGAACCAGCCAAGUCGCGUGAGGGAAGACUGCCCUAUGGGUUGUAAACCUCCUUUGUCAGGGAGCAAUUGGCGCUACGUGUAGCGUUAUCGAGAGUACCUGAAGAAAAAGCAUCGGCUAACUCCGUGCCAGCAGCCGCGGUAAUACGGAGGAUGCGAGCGUUAUCCGGAUUUAUUGGGUUUAAAGGGUGCGUAGGCGGAAUAUCAAGUCAGCGGUAAAAAUUCGGGGCUCAACCCCGUCGUGCCGUUGAAACUGAUGUUCUUGAGUGGGCGAGAAGUAUGCGGAAUGCGUGGUGUAGCGGUGAAAUGCAUAGAUAUCGCGCAGAACUCCGAUUGCGAAGGCAGCAUGCCGGCUCCACACUGACGCUGAGGCACGAAAGCGUGGGUAUCGAACAGGAUUAGAUACCCGGGUAA